CGGCUUCCGGUGCUCGGCAGCAGCCACCCCUCGCCCCUCGCUGGGCUGGCUGCGGUCAGGCUGCGGGGUGGUGCUGGGUGGGACCAUGCACCGUUAUCUCCUCAGCAGCUACGGCUCUUCCUGUGGUUGGGGCCACGUGGGCAGGAUGGGGUUAAAAGCAGCCCCACGACGGACAGGGGCCCAUUGCUCUCUGGCCGCCGCCACCAUCACUCCAUGCAGCACCUCACCACACCGGCACCGGGCAUGUGCCACCAGCACCCAGCGUGGGCCACCGGCAUCUGGCAUACACCACCGGCACCCAGCAUGCACCACCAGCACCUGGCAUGUGCCACCAGCACCCAGCGUGGGCCACCUGUGCCCUGACCUGGUAAUGGGGGGACCCAUCCAAGGUGCCCACAUGGCUCUCAAGGAGCAGCACGGGGCCUCCUGGGGUUUGGUGGCCAUGGCCCCGAUUCCACUGUGGGGGGGGGCAGCGGGUGCUGGGGGCCGACGACAGGUAAGGGGGUGCCCCAUCCCAGGAGGGGGGUGCCGGGGGGAGGAGGCACCACACUGGCGGGUGGGUGGAGGCAGGAAGCACCCGAAGCAGAAGUGACACCCAGGGGGUUUUCAGUGGCAGUGGGGACAAGACUGGGUGACAUGGAGGCUGGCGGUGCAGACAAGGUGAGGCUGGCGGGGUGAGGGUCCAUGUGGCUUUGGGUGCAGGGACCCCCGAUUGACCCCCAGCGCAUGGCCUGAAGGGCAGUGGGAGCAUGGAAAGUGUCUCCAUGUGACUGGCAGAUGGGGCAAGGUGGAGUCCCAUGGGGAGCCGCCAGCCACGGAGCUCCUGUGGCUUCAGGGGCAGGGGGGUGAGGCAAAGUGUUCUUGGGAUAAGGAGGCAGGGAUGACACCUAGUCCCCCAUGGGGGCAUUUCAAGGGUGAUGGCAAUGGGGUUUUCUGUAGGAUGCCCACCAUGGAGACAAGGCAAAAGAGUCCUCUGUGACCAGGGUGUCAGUUAAGUUAGGUCCCAUCAUGGGGACAUGGCAAGGGGAGUCUUUGUGAUGCAGGUGGGAUUAGAGGGACAGUGGUGGAGUUUGAGAUGGGAUCUCACUUUUGGGAUCCAGAUGAGGGGGUCCUCAUGGGAUCCUCUGCGGUUUGAAAGGCAACAAUGGAGUUCAGGGUGGGAUUCCGGCAUGGGAACAAAGCAAAGGGGUCCUCUAUGAAAGGGUAUGGGGUGAAGCCUCACAUGGGGGCAUAGCAAACACGACCUCCGUACCCUGGAUGAGGUCUGAAAGGGUCCCCACCAGCAGGGACAAGGCAAUUGGGUUCUCUAUGAUCAGAAUGGGGUCUGAGGUGGAGUCACCUGCUUGGGGACAAGUCAAAGUGGUCUCCUAUGACCCGAAUGGAGUAUUAUUAGGUGGAUUCCUCUCUUUGGAGGGGGUGUGGGACGUGGCCCCGCGCGGGCGGAAGUGAGCACAUCGCUGGAGGAGAGCGACUGCCGGACACGGACUGAGAGACAGUGCAGUCACCCAUAAAGUAGAAAGCACUACUAAACAGCACUGCAGGGUGUAGUGUUUCCUACUUUAUGGAUGAGUGUACUGUGGGCUACGGAGAAGAGAGCACUGCCGCGACCCACGGGCCCAUCGCAGGCUGUCCAAGAGAGGAGGAUGGGCUGUGCCACAUGGGAAGAGGGGCCCUAUGGCCUGGUGCCCCACGUGCGCGGUGGAGGGGCCUGUUGGGUUGGAGCAAGCACCGUUCUGGGAGGCCAGGUAGGCAGCAAAGCCUCCAACUCCCAGUUUCCCCCUACCCCCACCUUCAUUUUCUGUGUGGCAAAGCCCUGGGAAGAGAUGGGUGGUGAUGGCCACGUGCAACGCGGAGAGGGAUGGGAGGUGGACAGGGGCUCCUGAGUGGCUUUGUGCUGCCAAAUGACUGCUGGGUGCAGCAGGGUGGGCAGCUGCUGAAUAAAACUCUUUCGGUGUUGA